UUCCCAGACUCCUACGGGAGGCAGCAGUGAGGAAUAUUGGUCAAUGGGCGCGAGCCUGAACCAGCCAAGUAGCGUGAAGGAUGACUGCCCUACGGGUUGUAAACUUCUUUUAUAAAGGAAUAAAGUGAGGCACGUGUGCCUUUUUGUAUGUACUUUAUGAAUAAGGAUCGGCUAACUCCGUGCCAGCAGCCGCGGUAAUACGGAGGAUGCGAGCGUUAUCCGGAUUUAUUGGGUUUAAAGGGUGCGCAGGCGGUCUGUUAAGUCAGCGGUCAAAGCCCGGGGCUCAACCCCGGUCCGCCGUUGAAACUGGCAGUCUCGAGUUGGAGAGAAGUAUGCGGAAUGCGCGGUGUAGCGGUGAAAUGCAUAGAUAUCGCGCAGAACUCCGAUUGCGAAGGCAGCAUGCCGGCUCCACACUGACGCUGAGGCACGAAAGCGUGGGUAUCGAACAGGAUUAGAUACCCUUGUA
rnacentral:rRNA from 1 species